GGAGGAGUGGCCGAGUGGCUGAAGGCGACGGUCUUGAAAACCGUUAGGCGAGAAAUCGUCUCGGGGGUUCGAAUCCCUCCUCCUCCG
rnacentral:tRNA from 1 species